UUCCUUUUCCUGGCAACGUCGAGUAGUGAUUUACAUUCCUUUUCUUCUGACAGUGAUAUUGGUGUAUGGGUGGAAGAAUCCGAAUGUGGUUUUUCCUGUUUUGUCUUGUGUUGAUUACAAAAAAGCAGAGUUUGAAAAUUUUGGUAAUGAUGAAUGUAAGUGAGAAGAAGAUGAUGAGUUAUAUGGAUGUCUUUGUUGAUCUACAAUGGUCGAAGAAACAUAUUUGUGCUAUAUGAUUUGAGUGCUUUGGUUUGUUUUUU
rnacentral:lncRNA from 1 species